UACGUUAACGAACGAGACCUUAACCUGCUAAAUAGUUAGGCCAACGUUUGUUGGUCGUCAACUUCUUAGAGGGACUAUUGACUAUUAGUCAAUGGAAGUUUGAGGCAAUAACAGGUCUGUGAUGCCCUUAGAUGUUCUGGGCCGCACGCGCGCUACACUGAUCAAGUCAACGAGUUUACAACCUUGGCCGGAAGGUCUGGGUAAUCUUUUGAAACUUGAUCGUGCUGGGGAUAGUCCAUUGCAAUUAUUGGACUUCAACGAGGAAUUCCUAGUAAACGCAAGUCAUCGACUUGCAUUGAUUACGUCCCUGCCCUUUGUACACACCGCCCGUCGCUAGUACCGAUUGAAUGGCUU
rnacentral:rRNA from 1 species